UACAAAAGCUUAUACUCUGCGACCAAACUAAAACCCUGAAACACUUUUCAUUUCCAUCCUACGAACUGCAUUGUAGAAAACGUAAAGCCAAUGUCGCCUAGUCUUUCGCUUUCGUCGUGGUCACUGAUUGAAAGAGCUCAAAGUCGCGCUUCUGGCUCUUCGUGGUCGCUCUUAAUCAUCGUUGGGUCCCUUCUUCGAGGCAGCUCUUCAACAUAGUCUCCUUCUUGUCGACGUUGGUGCUCUUCUCAUCAUGGUUGUGCUUAAGAAAUAGUUCUCUUUGUGAGAAUCUGAUUGCUAUUGAAAAUUAGCAAGUUAAAGUGAGUGAACAAUCUAACUUUUUAGAUGACACACUUCUCCAAUCCUCGAAGAACUAAUGAAUGAUUGUAUAUUUACGUUUUUUAGUGAUAAAAUUUAUACUGCAACAAUUACCCAAGCAAGGUUAGUUUUUUCUCUAUCAUUGGACACCCUAUGCAUUAGUGAUUUGCAGAGUAUCUGGAUAUGAAACUAUAAAUGUUACAUGUUUGGUUCCUUACUAAAUCUCAAGUGCAUUAAGCAUUCUAGGGUUCAAUAUCUUCCGAAUACCCAUCCCUCGUUUUAUAGAUAGAAUUAUGCUAUAGGGCUUUCGUGCUAAUUGAGUGUGAAUUGAUUAAGUAAAAGAAAUAUCUAAAUACAUGUGAUCUUGAAUUUUGGCUUAGAAAUUAGUGUCGCUGGAUCACCGGAAGGAAAGUCAACAAGUAAGUCUUUAGGUCAUGGAUAUAUAGUUUGGCUUUUGAUGACUUAUUAUAUUUGUUUCUUCAAUGCAUGUGGUGUGUAUAAUUUGUUUGCCUUUCCCUCAUAGUGCAAUUUCUCUAGAUUAAGAUUUGGUCCAGACUUGGUGAAUAUUAUCAAGGAAGCCUCAAGCAAGAUUUUGUGAAUUCUUCAGUUUGCAAGUAAUAUAUAUAUAUAUAUAUGUCAUUCUCUCUUAUUGACUCCUUCAAUAUGGCAUUGAAUCUUAUUGUGUAUGCAAGUACUGCCCAUAUAUAAUCCUUGAGACGUGGAUUGACGCCCACAUGUAAUAUUUGAGACGUGGAUUGCCUGUUUUGAUUCUCCCUCUUAUAUUCUUUUUCUGAUUAUGGCCAUCUAUUCCCACAUGGCCAUUAGUCAUUACAUAUUCAUAUUCUUUUA